GGCUCAGGAUGAACGCUAGCGGCAGGCUUAAUACAUGCAAGUCGUACGGGAUCCGAGGUAGCAAUACUUUGGUGAGAGUGGCGCACGGGUGCGUAACACGUAUGCAACCUACCUUUAACCGGGACACAACCUCGAGAAAUUGAGGCUAAUAUCCCAUAACACUGCGAAGUGGCAUCACUUUGCAGUUAAAACUCCGGUGGUUAUUGAUGGGCAUGCGCGACAUUAGCUAGUUGGUGAGGUAACGGCCCACCAAGGCUACGAUGUCUAGGGGUUCUGAGAGGAUUAUCCCCCACACUGGUACUGAGACACGGACCAGACUCCUACGGGAGGCAGCAGUAAGGAAUAUUGGUCAAUGGGCGCAAGCCUGAACCAGCCAUGCCGCGUGAAGGAUGACGGCCCUAUGGGUUGUAAACUUCUUUUGUACGGGAAAAAACCACCGGUCGUGUAUCGGUGCUGAUGGUACCGUAAGAAUAAGCAUCGGCUAACUCCGUGCCAGCAGCCGCGGUAAUACGGAGGAUGCAAGCGUUAUCCGGAUUCAUUGGGUUUAAAGGGUGCGCAGGCGGAGUGAUAAGUCAGUGGUGAAAGCCUACAGCUUAACUGUAGAACUGCCAUUGAUACUGUCAUUCUUGAGUAUUGUUGAGGUAGGCGGAAUGUGUCAUGUAGCGGUGAAAUGCUUAGAUAUGACACAGAACACCGAUCGCGAAGGCAGCUUACCAAGCAAUAACUGACGCUCAUGCACGAAAGCGUGGGGAUCAAACAGGAUUAGAUACCCUGGUAGUCCACGCCGUAAACGAUGAUCACUCGAUGUUGGCGAUACACAGUCAGCGUCUUAGGGAAACUAUUAAGUGAUCCACCCUGGGAGUA
rnacentral:rRNA from 1 species